rnacentral:tRNA from 1 species
GUGAUUGUGGCCAAGUGGUUAAGGCAUUGGAUCGUGGCUCCAAUAUCGCUGGUUCGAUUCCAGUCAGUCACCCCA